ACGGAAGUUCGCUUCUUUGAUUUCCCCCUUAACAACUCAACUCAAGUCCCACACACAUCUACACCUCAGUAACAAAGAGAGCGCUGGGAGAGAGAGAGAGAGAGAGAGUCGACGAGAGAACGAAGGGCAUCCGACGAGGAUCCGGGUUUUCAGUGAGAGAUGGUGCCGAAAAAUGAAGCGACUGAAGAGCCGUUGGCAGAUUCUCUGACUUCUGUGCUUGAAGAUGAGGACAUCUGCAAGGAGAAAGUCGUUGUAGAAGUGUACGAAGAAACAUUUCUCGAGGCUAAAAUUUUUAUUCGCCGAAAAAGGGAACUACGGUGACAAGGCCUCACUUCUCUUGCGCUUUGUGUCCCGUUUGUUUCCAAUCUGUGCUGCCUGCGAUGAAGGUCUCCCUGCGUGCACAUUUUUGUUCAGGUUAGGGUCUCUUAUACAUGAUUUGUUUGAUUUAGUUAAUACUGAUACUUUGAUUGUUUAAUUUGAAGUCGAAGCAUAUUUUUUAGUUCAGUCUUUUUUUCUACGGAUUUAGUUUGGUAAGAUCCUAAAAUCUUGUAAAUGGUCUCAAGAAUAUAAGUACUUGGGCAUUGAAGGAUUUGAUUAUAAUGAAAUUAAAAGGCUGAGAGUUUAAUUCCAUUGGAGUUAUGGUGCUGUGGUAAUACUUGAAUUUCAGUUUCAGUUGGUUUUUGAAUGGAUUUACAUUUAUUUCUUAGCUAGCUAAUUUUCGUCUCUCUAAAGGAACGUGGGACUCUACACAUUUUAACACUUGGGCGGGAGGCUGUUCUUGAAGUAUAGGUCUUUUGUUGGAUCUUGAUUGAUAACAUGAUAUAUUGCAAGUACGAGUUGUAGAUUACAUUUCGUUGAUUGUAACAAAUAAGGGUGUAACUUUUAUUUACUCGGUAAAAGUUGGUCCGAUUGUAAGGUAACGGGUCAGCAGGUGAAACUGCAGGUUGUAUUUCAUAGGACAAGUAGUAGCAAGAUGUUUACCCACUCAAUACACACGAGGUUGGUACACAGUGCUGAUUACCAAAUGGAUGGGUUUGUUGACGGCGUUGAAUGUCCCUUUUUAUGUUCUCCAAGAGCUGUAAAUAUGUCCUUUUGAACAAAACAGUGUAUAACUAUUGAAACAAGUAG